rnacentral:misc_RNA from 1 species
GCAGGCUUCGGCGUUGGUCCUCGCCACCAGGAAAGCACGCUGUCGAGCGUUGUUCUCCCCGUCGUCGGAACCAUGCACUUGAAGAAGCCUUCCAAGGACAGGGUGCUACUGCCGGAGCAUGGUCGACCCGAUGAACCUCAGCUCAGUCCACAAAGGCAAGACUCGCAGCACGAGACACCGGACCAGGCCCUCCUGGUACCACACCGGAGCUGCUCGCCACCGUUGCUGUGCUAGACCUCUACGACUUGUUCACUGCGUCACAUACGCAAAGUAUGCGUGCGUUCCUGAAUUGAGGCGGGAAACUCUUUUCCUUCUCGUAGAUCUUUCCUACUCAAAGACGAGCUGCCAGGGAAACGCAGGUAGACGUCGAUCCGCAGGCAGCGCGCAAGCUGUGAACCACCACCAUCACCACAAAGAAGCACAGAACGAGCUCGAGCGGCGUGGAGUCGAAUAGCGGAACGCUGCACGUUGCAGUGCAACUCGAGUGCGGUCCGGUGUACAAGCACAGCGCUGGCAAGCGUCUUGCAGAGUGAGGCGUCGCAAAGCAGGUCAACGAAGUGGUUCAGCGACGUGCGACCACAGCGACGAACCGCUUGGCUCGCCAGACGAACGCUGCAACGCACCUGGCGCUUUGGAGCAGGUAUCAAACGAGCUCGUCACCAUUUACUCGAUAGUGUCAAGUUUUGGCAGAGGACGCGUCUCAAGUCACGAGCGUCAGAGAUGAGACGCUCGUUCCGGGCGAGCCCGUCUCUACAAGUUGGUGUUGUUCCCGGUCAGUAAGCAACAACCGCUCUUUUCGGCGUUACGUAUAGGGUAUGCAACACCCCGAAACGACCCGCUACGGAUACCACGCGCGCCGAAACCCCACGUCCACCAUUCCUGCACAAGUAGGGCCCUGUCAUACCAUUCGCUUGUGGAAUACAGCGACCAUGUGGAUACUUGCGCUUCGCUCCUGCUAGCUCUGGGGAGCCGUGCGCACGCCCAGCAUGCCUAGGAUACGGGCGGGAAUACCUCAGUUUCAAUUUUGCGCAGCAUGGGUUCUAGCUGAUCAUCGCGAAUACGGUAGAAGUCGACACUCUUCUCCGCGAGAAAUCGCACGCGAUCGCUCUCUACGGCCGCGAAGCAGACCAGAGAUGCGUCAAUAAUGGUCGGCGCGUGGGUAAUGAUAUACUUUUGACGCUGAAGCACGUCCGCUUCUGCUUCCCGAAACCGACUCUCCGCCUCGUACAUGAGAUCGCGCAAUGGUGCCAAUGUCUUCUCAUCUGUUUUCGCUCGUUCUUUAUCCUCGACGACCGCGCGGCGUGCAUCGUAAUCCUUAGCAAGCUUCUCCAGCCGGACGGAGCGCUCGCGGCAUUCCCGUAAGCGACUCUGGAAUUCUUUGAUGUACUGCAGCAAGCGGGUCGAUCCUUUCUCGCCCGCCCCAAGAUGAUGGUUACGCAUCUCUUCCGAGAUCGUUUUCGCUAGUGAGGCGAUACGAUCAGCGUGCUCUCUUCGCUCUGAAUCACCCUGUUGGCUUUCCGUCUGCUGCAGUUCGUUCGCGUAAAGCACCGUGAGCUCACCGAUACGCACCCAACUCGUCUGAAACUGGUCCAGGAAACGCACCAGUUUGCCAAGUUGGGUCUCGAUUUUGUUCACUGUCUUUUUAUUUUCCUCAUAUUCUUUCAAAGGAGUACGGUCGAUUCGCGCAAAGUUGCGCUUCCAACAGAAACACGAGCACGCCAUAUGCGUAGCUGGUUGUUCGCCAGCGCAGCCCCAGCGAUGCACGUAUCAGUGGGGGCAAUGCGUGCGCACAACCCCAAUGCGUGUCUGCGUGCGCGCGCGGUGCUGUCCCAAUGGGCGAUGCGAGGCGUCGGCGCGCCGGCCGCCACGAGGCCACGAGGCAUCCAGAAUGGUAUUUGCGAGAACAUGGACAAAUGGGAUUGCAGCGUCCCGUUCGCCCUGCGUCGUCACGCCCGGUCGCCGUGCAUGUGCUCGUCUCCGGACGGGUUGAUGUGCGGCCUGCGCGCUCCGAGCGCGAGUUCGAUGGGCGAUUCAGGAUGCCUUGGGUAUUUUUGUUCUAUCCAGUGCAGCAUGCAAUGGAAAAGGUCGCGUCAUUCGGGUGUCCAAGGUAA